rnacentral:snRNA from 1 species
GUGCUUGCUUCCACAACACAUAUACAGAGAUUAGCAUGGCCUCAGUGUGAGGAUGACACACUCAUGAAGCAUUCCAUAUUUUU